rnacentral:rRNA from 1 species
UACGUAGGGCGCAAGCGUUGCCCGGAAUUAUUGGGCGUAAAGAGCUCGUAGGCGGUCUGUCGCGUCUGCUGUGAAAUCCCGAGGCUCAACCUCGGGCUUGCAGUGGGUACGGGCAGGCUAGAGUGCGGUAGGGGAGAAUGGAACUCCUGGUGUAGCGGUGGAAUGCGCAGAUAUCAGGAGGAACACCAAUGGCGAAGGCAGCACUCUGGGACGUGACUGACGCUGAGACGCGAAAGCGUGGGGAGCAAACAGG